rnacentral:rRNA from 1 species
CGUGGAUUAGGCAUGCAAGUCGUGCGAGAAGCCCUCUUCGGAGGGUGGACAGCGGCGAAAGGGAGAGUAACGCGUGGAUACCAACCCCCAGGACCGGGAUAGCUGCGGGAAACUGCAGGUAAUACCAAAUAAUGUCUUCGGACCAAAGGUGUGAUUCCGUCUGAGGACGAGCCCGCGUCCUAUUAGCUUGUUGGUGGGGUAAUGGCCUACCAAGGCUUAGAUGGGUACCGGGUGUGAGAGCAUGGCCCGGCUCACUGGGACUGAUACACUGCCCAGACACCUACGGGUGGCUGCAGUCGAGAAUCUUGGGCAAUGGACGCAAGUCCGACCGAGCGACGCCGCGUGCGGGAUGAAGGCCUUCGGGUUGUAAACCACUGUCAGUUGGGAGGAAAUGCUGUGGGGUCAUCCCCGCAGUUUGACCUAUCUUCAGAGGAAGUACGGGCUAAGUUCGUGCCAGCAGCCGCGGUAACACGAACCGUACGAACGUUAUUCGGAAUCACUGGGCUUAAAGAGUACGUAGGCGGCGUGGCAAGUUGGGUGUGAAAUCCCUCGGCUCAACCGAGGAACUGCGCUCAAAACUGCCGAGCUAGAGGGAGACAGAGGUGAGCGGAACUUAGGGUGGAGCGGUGAAAUGCGUUGAUAUCCUAAGGAACACCAGUAGCGAAAGCGGCUCACUGGGUCUCUUCUGACGCUGAAGGCACCGAAAAAGCUAAGGGGGAGCCGAACCGGCGAUUAAGAAUACCCCCGGUAGUCCUAGCCUGUAAACGUUGAGCACUUGGUCGGAGAGUCCUCCAUAGCUUUCCGGUCGCAGCGAAAGUGAUAAGUGCUCCGCCUGGGGAGUAUGGUCGCAAGGCUGAAACUCACAGGAAUUGACGGGGGCUUCACACAAGCGGGUGGAGGAUGUGGCUUUAAUUCGAGGCCUAACGCGUAGAACCUUAUCCUGGGGCUUGACAUGCACGGAGUUAACCCUCGUGAAAGGCGAGGGCGACGCCUUCGGGUGGAACGUGCACAGGUGCUGGCAUGGCUGUCGUCAGCUCGUGUCGUGAGAUGUCGGGUUAAGUCCCUUAACGAGCGAAACCCUUGUCACUAGUUGCCAGCGCGUCAUGGCGGGGACUCUAGUGAGACUGCCGGUGUUAAACCGGAGGAAGGUGGGGAUGACGUCAAGUCCUCAUGGCCUUUAUGGUCUGGGCUGCACACGUCCUACAAUGGCAUAUACAAAGGGAAGCUACCUCGCGAGAGCAAGCAAAUCCCAGAAAGCGCGCCCCAGUUCGGAUUGCA